GAUGAACGCUGGCGGCGUGCCUAAUACAUGCCAGUCGAGCGAACGGACGAGAAGCUUGCUUCUCUGAUGUUAGCGGCUGACGGGUGAGUAACACGUGGAUAACCUACCUAUAAGACUGGGAUAACUUCGGGAAACCGGAGCUAAUACCGGAUAAUAUUUUGAACCGCAUGGUUCAAAAGUGAAAGACGGUCUUGCUGUCACUUAUAGAUGGAUCCGCGCUGCAUUAGCUAGUUGGUAAGGUAACGGCUUACCAAGGCAACGAUGCAUAGCCGACCUGAGAGGGUGAUCGGCCACACUGGAACUGAGACACGGUCCAGACUCCUACGGGAGGCAGCAGUAGGGAAUCUUCCGCAAUGGGCGAAAGCCUGACGGAGCAACGCCGCGUGAGUGAUGAAGGUCUUCGGAUCGUAAAACUCUGUUAUUAGGGAAGAACAUAUGUGUAAGUAACUGUGCACAUCUUGACGGUACCUAAUCAGAAAGCCACGGCUAACUACGUG
rnacentral:rRNA from 1 species